UACAGAGGUCCCAAGCGUUGUUCGGAUUCAUUGGGCGUAAAGCGCGCGCAGGCGGCCAUCCAAGUCAGUGGUGAAAGCCCGGAGCUCAACUCCGGAACUGCCAUUGAAACUGGUUGGCUAGAGUACGAGAGAGGUGAGUGGAAUUCCCAGUGUAGAGGUGAAAUUCGUAGAUAUUGGGAAGAACACCGGUGGCGAAGGCGGCUCACUGGCUCGUUACUGACGCUCAGGCGCGACAGCGUGGGGAUCAAACAGG
rnacentral:rRNA from 1 species